rnacentral:misc_RNA from 1 species
AGCUGGUUAUCAGCUAUGGACUAGACACAUUUCAGGAUAAUUAAUACUGGUUAUCAGCUAACGCAGUUGAGAGUUUAGCACUUCGCAUAAGCAAUUAGAGAUAUAAAGCAUUAAGCAUACAUUGGCUUCUCAAAUAAGGUGUGCACUAUGGAAAACUUACUUUCUGAUUUUAAGAUAAGCCAUUGCCCUAUUUGCAUAGGCCACUGCUGUGGGUGACAAGGCUAUGCUUCUCGAAUAG